GAUGAACGCUGGCGGCGUGCCUAAUACAUGCAAGUCGAGCGAACAGACGAGGAGCUUGCUCCUUCGACGUUAGCGGCGGACGGGUGAGUAACACGUAGGUAACCUACCUAUAAGACUGGGAUAACUUCGAGAAACCGGAGCUAAUACCGGAUAAUAUUUCGAACCGCAUGGUUCGAUAGUGAAAGAUGGCUUUGCUAUCACUUAUAGAUGGACCUGCGCCGUAUUAGCUAGUUGGUAAGGUAACGGCUUACCAAGGCAACGAUACGUAGCCGACCUGAGAGGGUGAUCGGCCACACUGGAACUGAGACACGGUCCAGACUCCUACGGGAGGCAGCAGUAGGGAAUCUUCCGCAAUGGGCGAAAGCCUGACGGAGCAACGCCGCGUGAGUGAUGAAGGUCUUCGGAUCGUAAAACUCUGUUAUUAGGGAAGAACAAACGUGUAAGUAACUGUGCACGUCUUGACGGUACCUAAUCAGAAAGCCACGGCUAACUACGUG
rnacentral:rRNA from 1 species